UACAGGGGGUGCAAACGUUGCUCGGAAUUAUUGGGCGUAAAGCGCGCGUAGGCGGCUACCUAAGUCGGAUGUGAAAGCCCCUGGCUUAGCUGGGGAAGUGCACCCGAAACUGGGUAGCUAGAGUGCAAAAGAGGGUCGCGGAAUUCCCGGUGUAGAGGUGAAAUUCGUAGAUAUCGGGAGGAACACCGGUGGCGAAGGCGGCGACCUGGGUUGACACUGACGCUGAGGCGCGAAAGCGUGGGGAGCAAACAGG
rnacentral:rRNA from 1 species